GGGUCAUCUUCACCUGGUGAAUGAAAGGAUGUGGAUACUCGUGCGUUGCUGGGUGACGGCCGUAACUCUCCAUGGCGACGGCGACGGCGGCGGGAAGCAAAGACGCUGACAGGAGUCCAACGUGACUGCUACCAUGGAUGUUGCAGAAGAGUGCAGACGACUACAAAUUAGUGGAUCACAAUUUACUUUAAAAAAAAAAAAAAAAAAAAGGUCUACCUGAGUGCCACCUGCCAUGUUGAACCACCGUAGUUUCUCCUUCACACUAGGAAGGAGAAACUACACACACACUGGUCCUUUUAAAAUAGAUUAAUUUAGCUUGUCAACAUAAUAAAAAGGCACUUUUAGUUUGUUUACUGAUCACACCAUAUGUCUGUCAGUAAUCUAACAUUUAUUAUUUAACAAGCACAACACAACUCUGUUUUCCUCGGACACGUUUAUUGACACAGUUGAAAAAAACAUUUGAAUUCGGCCAAUAAGGAUUCACUUUCACAGAGCGUAAUCAGUAUAAAUUAAACAGACCUAUAAAUUAUAAACAGGGUUAGUAAAUGUUGCUGACUUUAGCGUGCUGAAAUCAUGUUUCACU